rnacentral:lncRNA from 1 species
GCGUGUGGAGGAUGAUGGCAGCGAGGGGCCAUCUCUAAGUUUCUCAGGCUGAGAAAAAAAACAUCAGUGUGGGGGAAGAUUUGGGACCCGUGUCUGUAUCUGCUACCUGGACUCUCAUUAAACAGAUGACGUGAUGAAGCAAUCAGAAAGCCUGGCCAGCUGCUCACCUCCAGGGCAGCUUCUUGGGAAGAUAGUGAACAAUUCUGGGGGUUAAGAACUGUUUUUAAAAGAAAACACUAGGGAGGCUGGGGCAGGAGGAUCAUUUGAGGCCCAGGAGUUGGACGCUGCAGCUAGCUAUGAUUGUACCACUGCACUCCAGCCUGGGUGACAGAGCAAGACCUUGUCUCUAAAAAAUAAAUAAAUAAACCUUUAAAAACC